AUACUUCUGGUCUUUUUUGUGGCUAUUGAUGAUUGUGUUUUCAUGCCACUGUGUGAGAUAUACCUCCCUCAAACCUUGUUACACAUUGGCAUUAUACAUUCAUUAUA
rfam:Tupaia chinensis contig96051, whole genome shotgun sequence.